rnacentral:tRNA from 1 species
GCGCUCGUAGCUCAACAGGAUAGAGCGUUGUCUUCCGGAGGCAGAGGUUUCAGGUUCAAGUCCUGUCGAGCGCG